rnacentral:tRNA from 1 species
AGGGGGGGCAAAGCCAACAAGAACUGCUAAUUCUUCAAUCUGAGCUUAAACCCUCAGCCCCCUU